rnacentral:rRNA from 1 species
UACAGAGGUCCCAAGCGUUGUUCGGAUUUAUUGGGCGUAAAGCGCGUGUAGGCGGCCAGAUAGGUCUGCUGUGAAAACUCGAGGCUCAACCUCGAGACGCCGAUGGAAACCAUCUAGCUAGAGUCCGGAAGAGGAGAGUGGAAUUCCUGGUGUAGCGGUGAAAUGCGCAGAUAUCAGGAAGAACACCAAUGGCGAAGGCAGCUCUCUGGGACGGUACUGACGCUGAGACGCGAAAGCGUGGGGAGCGAACAGG